UACGUAGGGCGCAAGCGUUGUCCGGAUUUAUUGGGCGUAAAGAGCGUGUAGGCGGCCAAGCAGGUCCGCUGUGAAAACUCGAGGCUCAACCUCGAGACGUCGGUGGAAACCGUUUGGCUAGAGUCCGGAAGAGGAGAGUGGAAUCCCGGUGUAGCGGUGGAAAUGACGCAGAUAUCAGGAGGAACACCGAUGGCGAAGGCAGGUCUCUGGGCCGAUACUGACGCUGAGGAGCGAAAGCGUGGAGCGAACAGG
rnacentral:rRNA from 1 species